AAUGAACGUUGGCGGCGUGGAUUAGGCAUGCAAGUCGUGCGGCAGCAGGCCCCGCAAGGGGUGCUGGCGAGCGGCGUAAGGGAGAGGAACACGCGGGUACCUGCCCUCAGGACCGGGAUAGCUGCGGGAAACUGCAAUUAAUACCGGAUGAUGUCUCCGGACCAAAGGUGUAAUUCCGCCGGAGGAGGGGCCCACGUCCUAUCAGCUAGUUGGAGAGGUAACGGCUCACCAAGGCGAUGACGGGUACGGGGUGUGAGAGCAUGCCCCCGCUCACUGGGACUGAGACACUGCCCAGACACCUACGGGUGGCUGCAGUCGAGAAGCGUCCGCAAUGGGCGAAAGCCUGACGGAGCGACGCCGCGUGCGGGAUGAAGGCCUUCGGGUUGUAAACCGCUGUCAGUGGGGAGCAAGCGCAUGGGGGUUCUCCCCUGUGCUUGAGCGAUCCGCAGAGGAAGCGCAGGCUAAGUUCGUGCCAGCCGCCGCGGUAAUAC
rnacentral:rRNA from 1 species